UGCCAGCAGCCGCGGUAAUACGGAGGGUGCGAGCGUUAAUCGGAAUUACUGGGCGUAAAGAGAGUGUAGGCGGACUAUUAAGUCUUGUGUGAAAUCCUAUGGCUUAACCAUAGAACUGCAUGAGAAACUGAUAGUCUAGAGUAUGGAAGAGGAAGAUGGAAUUCCUAGUGUAGUGGUGAAAUACGUAGAUAUUAGGAGGAAUACCAGUAGCGAAGGCGACUUUCUGGACACAAACUGACGCUGAGGUACGAAAGCGUGGGGAGCAAACAGGAUUAGAUA
rnacentral:rRNA from 1 species